rnacentral:snRNA from 1 species
GUGCUGAAAGUUGCUGCUUUCAGUGCAACCACAGCUUUGAAUGACCGAGCUACAUUUAAAAAGAUAGCUCAUGUGAGACGAAUUUCUUAGAGGGUAAAGUUUACCCCUAAGGUGACCCACCUACUUUGAGGGAUGCCUGGGAGUUGCGAUCUGCCCG